rnacentral:rRNA from 1 species
GCAACAGCUCAAAUUUGAAAGCUAGCCUUCGGGUUCGCAUUGUAAUUUGUAGAGGAUGAUUUGGGGAAGCCGCCUGUCUAAGUUCCUUGGAACAGGACGUCAUAGAGGGUGAGAAUCCCGUAUGUGACAGGAAAUGGCACCCUAUGUAAAUCUCCUUCGACGAGUCGAGUUGUUUGGGAAUGCAGCUCUAAAUGGGAGGUAAAUUUCUUCUAAAGCUAAAUAUUGGCGAGAGACCGAUAGCGCACAAGUAGAGUGAUCGAAAGAUGAAAAGCACUUUGGAAAGAGAGUUAAAAAGCACGUGAAAUUGUUGAAAGGGAAGCGCUUGCAAUCAGACUUGUUUAAACUGUUCGGCCGGUCUUCUGACCGGUUUACUCAGUUUGGACAGGCCAGCAUCAGUUUCGGCGGCCGGAUAAAGGCUCUGGGAAUGUGGCCUCCACUUCGGUGGAGGUGUUAUAGCCCAGGGUGUAAUACGGCCAGCCGGGACUGAGGUCCGCGCUUCGGCUAGGAUGCUGGCGUAAUGGUUGUAAGCGACCCGUCUU